GUGUAAGAGACUAUUCUUUUAUAUCAUUGACUCAAAGUUUGCUGAGGAACAAGUCCAGGCAAGUCCUGGGCAAAGGCAGAGGAAUCUUUUGUCUUGAGGACACUGAUGGACAGGUCCUGGCUAAGGAUUGUGAAAUCCUUUAAGGAGCACAGAUGGACAAGGCCAGGGGCAUCGAGAGAGAGAUAAGCUGCCGCUAAUGGCCGGGAAACGGUCUUUUUGUGUGGACUUAUCUCAAGGAAAAUGGCCAUCUCAGGAGGUAUGCACAGGACUCUUGCUCAAGCCCCCAGGAAUGUCACGUAGGCAGCAGAAAAUGGAGGAUAAAAGAGGGUCCAAUAACCACAACGGUGGAAGCUGAUCCUUCACCACAACCACGGCAACGGGGGAGGCUUAUCUCUCACCACGACAGACUUGAGGGGUUCUCUGCCAUCUGAUCCUUCACCGCAACAGUGGAGACUGAUCUCUACGUGUAGACGGAUCGCUACGUGGAGACUGAUCUCUCACCACGACACGAGCUUCCUGCCUUCCGAUCCUCCUCUACGGACCGUUUGCUGACGGACUUCCCUGGGCCUGCUACCUGAGACCUGCUGCUUCCUCCCUGGCCUGCAUCCUCUCGCUGCCCCAGACCGGCCUCACUGCUCCUGCCCUUCGGCCUCGGACCGUCGGAACGUCGUGCAACGGGACUGCUGCCGGAUCCUGGUGGAAAGCACUUGAAAGGAAGGAAUGGCAAGCCUGCCAUCUGCAAGAGCACAGGAUGAAAAGUGAAAAAGGCCCCAGGGCUUUUACCAUUUCCAUCUGAGAUGGAUGCUGGUGACUUAGCGGUAGAG
ensembl:lncRNA